GUAACUUAUUGAUCACCAAAGCAUUCUGUACUUGUGAAGAAUCACUUCCAUCUAUCUACUAGUUUAUUAUUUAGCAUCCCUGCAGUACUAGUGUGUAAGGCAUCUGCUGAUCUGUACUACUUUUUUGGCAUUUUCCAGGCAACCAUGAUGUACAACUUAAUGUCAAUAAAACACAGCUGCUGGAAACAUUCCAUAAGUCGGCUUGAAAGCAGACAGGUAUUAAGAGAAUCACAGGAAAGUGGCAUGAGGCCAAUUGAGUGACCUGGUGCUUUGUUGUCUCCGAGGGAGUUUGGCGGGGUUUCGACCAGAAUCCGCGGCUUGGAGGCCAAGAAGCCUGGAGACAGGGCACGAGCCCAUGAUCGACUCCAUUUCUCACUGAUCUCACUGAUUAAAGCAUCAGGCAAAAUUGAGAUCAAGAAGAACGGGAAUGGAAGGCAAGCAAGUGUUCAGCCCCAUCUGCCUGCACUUGACCAGUUUUCUCACUGGCCCUUUUGCUCAGUGUCACAGGAGUCUUGGGUCUUGGGAAGGGUUAAUUGAUGUGGUCUGUGGAUUAGACUCUGCAGCUCCUGUUAUAUGUAUUUCUGGCUUCUGGUUACUUCUUUCUGGUGCUAUUUUGUGCAAUUUUGAUCGGGGCAGACUGGAUCUGCUGCCUGCAGUCAACAAACGACACAGCACUAAAUUGAACUAAACUGGGCUUUGCUAUUCUGUUUCAAUAACUCUGUGGUCUGAUGUUUUAUAUUCUGUGUUUUUUGCUCAUUUGUUGGCACUUGUGCAAUUUAUUCUUUCUUUGCUCGUUGGGUGUUUGAUGUUCUCUUUGAACUGGUUUCUUAAUGUUUCCUUGCUUGUUUUUUGGUACGUCUGUGGGAAGACAAAUCUCAGGUUUGUACACUGCAUAUAUACUUUAAUAAUAAAUGUACUUUGAAUAUUUCAUGUCAAUUCUAUAUUGAUCCCAUUUCUAUUCUUACCACAUUGCCAUUGGCUUCUACCAGAUUCCAUUAUCACCUAGAUAGUAGAGGCAAAGUACAGUGGCUAAUUAACAAACAAGCCCACAGAUCUU